rnacentral:rRNA from 2 species
AAGUGGUGCGACGAACCAGAGCUUGCUCUGGGGCAAAGCCGCGAACGGGUGAGUAACACGUGGGUAAUCUACCCCGAUGACCGGGACAACCCGAGGAAACUCGGGCUAAUACCGGAUGUGGUGUACUGGCAUAAGCCGGUCCACUAAAGGUAGCUUCGGCUUCCGCAUUGGGAGGGGCCCGCGGCCCAUUAGCUUGUUGGUGGGGUCAAGGCCUACCAAGGCAACGAUGGGUAGCUGGUCUGAGAGGACGAUCAGCCACACUGGGACUGAGACACGGCCCAGACUCC